CGUCGCGGUGAAUGCGUUCCCGGGCCUUGUACACACCGCCCGUCAAGUCAUGAAAGUGGGCAGCACCCGAAGCCGGUGGCCUAACCCCUUGUGGGAUGGAGCCGUCUAAGGUGAGGCUCGUGAUUGGGACUAAGUCGUAACAAGGUAGCCGUACCGGAAGGUGCGGCUGGAUCACCUCCUUUCUACGGAGA
rnacentral:rRNA from 1 species